rnacentral:rRNA from 1 species
GACGUAGGAUGCAAGCGUUGUCCGGAAUUAUUGGGCGUAAAGAGUUCGUAGGCGGUUGCCUAAGUCUGAUGUUAAAAUACUAGAGCUCAACUCUGGCAUGGCAUUGGAAACUGGGUAGCUAGAGUGCGGUAGAGGUCUCGGGGAAUUCCAGGUGUAGCGGUGAAAAUGCGUAGAUACCUGGAGGAACACCGGUGGCGAAAAGCGCGAGACUGGGGCCCGUAAACUGACGCUGAGGGAAACGAAAAGCC